AGUGAACGCUGGCGGUAGGCCUAACACAUGCAAGUCGAACGGCAGCACAGUAAGAGCUUGCUCUUACGGGUGGCGAGUGGCGGACGGGUGAGGAAUACAUCGGAAUCUACUUUUUCGUGGGGGAUAACGUAGGGAAACUUACGCUAAUACCGCAUACGACCUACGGGUGAAAGCAGGGGAUCUUCGGACCUUGCGCGAUUGAAUGAGCCGAUGUCGGAUUAGCUAGUUGGCGGGGUAAAGGCCCACCAAGGCGACGAUCCGUAGCUGGUCUGAGAGGACGAUCGGCCACACUGGAACUGGGACACGGUCCAGACUCCUACGGGAGGCAGCAGUGGGGAAUAGUGGACAAUGGGCGCAAGCCUGAUCCAGCCAUACCGCGUGGGUGAAGAAGGCCUUCGGGUUGUAAAGCCCUUUUGUGGGGAAAGAAAAGCAGCAGGUUAAUACCCCGCUGUUCUGACGGUACCCAAAGAAUAAGCACCGGCUAACUUCGUG
rnacentral:rRNA from 1 species